UACAGAGGCGGCAAGCGUUGUUCGGAAUUAUUGGGCGUAAAGAGCACGUAGGCGGCUGUGUAAGUCGGUUGUGAAAGCCUUCCGCUCAACGGAAGAACGGCAUCCGAUACUGCAUGGCUUGAGUGUGGGAGGGGAGAGUGGAACUUCUGGUGGAGCGGUGAAAUGCGUAGAUAUCAGAAGGAACACCGGCGGCGAAGGCGACGUGCUGGGCUGCACCUGACGCUGAGAUGCGAAAGUGUGGGGAGCAAAC
rnacentral:rRNA from 1 species